UGGGGAAUUUUCCGCAAUGGGCGCAAGCCUGACGGAGCAAUACCGCGUGAGGGAGGAAGGCUUUUGGGUUGUAAACCUCUUUUCUCAAGGAAGAAGCAAGUGACGGUACUUGAGGAAUCAGCAUCGGCUAACUCCGUGCCAGCAGCCGCGGUAAUACGGAGGAUGCAAGCGUUAUCCGGAAUUAUUGGGCGUAAAGCGUCCGCAGGUGGUUUAUCAAGUCAGUUGUUAAAGACUGCAGCACAACUGUGGGCGUGCAACUGAAACUGAUUAACUAGAGUGCGGUAGGGGUAGAGGGAAUUCCCAGUGUAGCGGUGAAAUGCGUAGAUAUUGGGAAGAACACCAGUGGCGAAGGCGCUCUACUGGGCCGCAACUGACGCUGAGGGACGAAAGCUAGGGGAGCGAAAGGGAUUAGAUACCCGCGUAGUCC
rnacentral:rRNA from 1 species